rnacentral:rRNA from 1 species
AUUGAACGCUGGCGGCAGGCUUAGCACAUGCAAGUCGAGCGGAGUGAUGGUGCUUGCACUAUCACUUAGCGGCGGACGGGUGAGUAAUGCUUAGGAAUCUGCCUAUUAGUGGGGGACAACACCUCGAAAGGGAUGCUAAUACCGCAUACGUCCUACGGGAGAAAGCAGGGGAUCACUUGUGACCUUGCGCUAAUAGAUGAGCCUAAGUCGGAUUAGCUAGUUGGUGGGGUAAAGGCCUACCAAGGCGACGAUCUGUAGCGGGUCUGAGAGGAUGAGCCGCCACACUGGGACUGCGACACGGCCCAGACUCCUACGGGAGGCAGCAGUGGGGAAUAUUGGACAAUGGGGGGAACCCUGAUCCAGCCAUGCCGCGUGUGUGAAGAAGGCCUUAUGGUUGUAAAGCACUUUAAGCGAGGAGGAGGCUCUUUUGGUUAAUACCCAAGAUGAGUGGACGUUACUCGCAGAAUAAGCACCGGCUAACUCUGUGCCAGCAGCCGCGGUAA